rnacentral:lncRNA from 1 species
AGCCCCGCCCCGUCUGGUCCCGCCCCCACGGCCCCUCCCCCUCCCCACAGGCGAGGCGCCACCCGCCCUCCCUCACCUCGGAGAACAGCGCGGCUAGGUGCUCCAGGGGCGCGGCGGGCAGGUCCCCGCAGAGCACUGCCCCGCGGAGGCUGGUGGGCUCUGGAGGCUCGGGCCUCCUGCGCAGGAAAAAAAGCCCCUUUGCGCGAGCUGGGCCGGACUCAGGUCCCGGGUCCAUCCCCUGUCGCAUCGCCAGGCCUCCGGGGCCGGGCCGCACUACCAGCAAGGGCCUGGGCCCCUCUGCAGCACCUCGGCCCAGGAAGGCCUGGAGCAGAUGCUCAGCCUCGGGUGUCCCCGUGCAGCGCUCCCAAGCACCCGCCGCCGGCCGCAGGCUCUGAGCCACGUAGGCCCCCAGGAGACGCAGCAGUCUCGGGUCGGCGCUGGAGUCCUCGUCCGCGUUCUCCGCAGCGAGCAGGGCCAGAUCCUCCGCGCACGGCAUCGUGCGCGGCCUCCGGCUGCAUUGGUUUCCCUAGCGACGGGGACGCGGCCAGGACUUCCCUCCUCUGCUUUCUUCCUAUUGGGCCAAGGACUCUUGACCCCGCCCCUUCCAGGCAAAUAAGCUGUAUCUCGAAAGGGAAGUCUGUCACACUGCAGGCACCAUGGAGCCCAGGCCAAGGCAGCCGGAGGUGCACUCCUGCCAUACUCUCAAGCAGAUGUGAGACAUCAAGAACGCCCUGCCCAGAGGAAAAUGUUGCAUGGAAAUAUUUUAUCAUAAAAUCUGAGAAAAUGAGAGCCAGAGGAAUCCCACAAUAUGCCUGGUAUAUGGGAGAGAGCAAAACUUUAUUAAAAGACUGAAAACAUUUAGAUGAGGACGCACACUAUGGUGAAAAGUUCUAGGAGACUUGAAACAGGUAAGCAAGGGAUUUAUCUUUGCCAGCAAUAAUCUGAAGCCUUUCAGUAGUUUAUUUAACAGUUAUGGUUCUCAAGUCUGUCUCUGAUAACCCUACCUGUAUAAGAAGAAAUCCUAGGAAAGGCUGGAGAUAGAAUCUUGCCUCCUCCUACUACAGAAGGUAAAGAGAGUUGGAAAUAUUUCCUUUCUGGAGAUCCUGGCAGCCAGAAUGCAGGCAGAUAAUCUAAUCUUAG